rnacentral:misc_RNA from 1 species
GCAAUGAACAAGCUGAAGAAAAUGGCACUGAAAGUUAUUGCAGAAAAUCUGCCUAAUGAAGAAAUCCAAGGACUCAAAUCGAUGUUUGCUAACAUUGACACUGACAAUAGUGGCACCAUCACCUAUGAUGAACUAAAAGCUGGAUUGGCUCGACUUGGAUCAAAACUUACAGAAGCUGAAGUCAAGCAGCUUAUGGAGGCUGCUGAUGUUGAUGGUAACGGGACAAUAGACUAUAUUGAAUUUAUCACCGCGACAAUGCAUAGGCACAGGCUAGAAAGAGACGAACAAAUUUACAAAGCCUUUCAGUAUUUUGACAAGGACAAAAGUGGGUAAGUCUGUUAGGGAUCUCUGAUAUCAUGCUUAUAAGAAAAACGAUGGACCUGAGUUUGCAAGCUUUGUAAUUCAAUUCCUUGGAGAUAAGAAGAUUUUGAAACUGCAUAUCUAGACGCGUAAUUAAAGACACAGCUAAAUCUAUUUCAAUCAUAUAGAAGAUGUAUUCAAAUUGAAUUUUUGAUGUCUUUGCAGGUUCAUCACAACAGAUGAGCUAGAAACAGCUAUGAAAGACUUUGGAAUGGGUGAUGAUGCAACAAUCAAAGAGAUAAUAUCUGAAGUUGACACAGAUAAUGUAAGUUGCUUAUUUGCUUUCAACCAGAAGUCUGAUUCUUCUCCAAGGAGUAUCUUACAUUACCAUAUACCUGUGGGCUAUGCAGGACGGUAGGAUUAACUACGAAGAGUUUUGUACAAUGAUGAGAACUGGAAACCAGCACCAGCCAAGGCUCUUCUAGAUGUACGUGAUUUGUUACUAUUUCUGCACGAAUGUCGUUUUAAGGAGGAUGUAAAAAAUCUGAAGCCACUUCAAUA